ensembl:miRNA
AGAGAAGUUCUCCUGGCCUAAGAAAUCAAGCGUGGGUGAGACCUGGUGCAGAACAGGAAGGCGACCCAUACUUGGUUUCAGAGGCUGUGAGAAUA